CCCACAUCCCUUGCCUGCUUUCCUGACUUGCGUCCCUUCUCCUCCCCCUGCCCAGCCCCGAUCCGGGUUUAGGGCGCCGAGACCUAGGCGCACAGUGCACAGGAGUCCACUGAGCCGAAUUCCGCGAGUGAGGAACUCUGUCGCAGCAUCCUCGAUGAGAGUUGUGAGUGGAGACAUUUGCAGGUCCCUGCGUGAAGCAAGGAUAUGAACUUGCAGAGCGUUGGAGGCGACAGGUUUAAACGCAGAUGUAAACGCGCCCCUUUCCAUCAGCUUUGAUCAGGAGGUUCGAGCUCAGCAAAAUAGGCGAGAGAUCGAGAGACGCCUACGGGUUGACUUCUCAGCCGAGCCCAGGGGUUAGAGGCUGCGGGGCUCAAAGGGGCGCUAGACAAAGGACUAACUCUGACAUUGAUGGGUUGAAAUCUGAGGCUACAAAGAAAAAGAGGUUCUCUGCGACUUCGGCGCCGCUCGCGAGCUCCCUCCCCCUCCAGGCUGGCCCAGAGUAAGGUGCAGCCGGCCUUUCUCUGAAACUCCGCUCUCCCCUUGCCUCCUUUGGGCUGCGGGAACGUCUGAAAAACAUUGACACUCCAACCAGACCUGCUUUCCAAAUGCCCCCCCGCCCCCGCGCGCCCCAGAGCACACCCUCCCUCCUGAGGGUCUACCAUGAGUUACUUUACUGUGUCUGUAGCAGCGGAUGAAGGGGAAGGCCAAAGAACCGUUCGUGGCUGUAGUUGCAACUGUACAGCCCUGGUCCAAGGGCGGCUCCCCGCACCUUUCCACCUCCUCCCUGGGCUGUCUCCAGAGAUGCUUUGGAAGGCGGCGGGCCCUGGCGGACUUUCUUCUCCUUACCCCGGACGGGCGCAGCGGGGGCAGGGUUGGAGUGGAGAGCCUUGCAAUGUGGAGCCCAGGAUAGCACUUACCGGCCCCGCCGCCCAGGGUGGCGAGCUAAGCCGGGGUCGUGCGCUCAAGCUCCGGGGGAAUGUCCAGUGUUUGUAUGUGGUCUGAGCUCAGCCUGACUAUUUUUGUCCUAAAUUUGAAAGCACACAUCCACAAAGUUGUGGUCUUGACCGGUGUUUUCUAUAGCGAGCAAUGGAGUGAGCUGUGUCUGAACUAUUUCCCUAAUUCUCCAUCGGAUAGUAGAGGCCCUGGCUUAAGUGGUGAAGAGCUCUGUCUGCCGCAACCUUCUUGGCAGAGAGUGAACUCCACAGUUUUUUUUUUUUUUGUUUGUUUGUUUUUUGUUUUUUUGGUGGGGAGGGGGGCGGUCUAAAACUUCCAGUCUCCUCCUCCUAGGAGGAAUACGAUUCUGCCUCUGACCUGUUGAUUUUGCAUCCCGGGUCGUCGUCCCAUCUACGCAAACACCCCCACACUCCAGCCUUGGGUCCAUAGGACCCAAAGACCUGAUGUACGGAAAGGCGUAGCCUGGAUGGACGUCAGCAAUGUCAGAAACCUAGAGUCCACUACGCUCCUCCUCUCCAUCUUUCCACGAGUUUGGGAAACUUCUUGGCCCCGGGGACUUUGACCCACAUCUGCAUAUCUCAGCCCUAGCUUCCAAAAGUGCUGCUGGCUGUGGCGGGGGGUGUGUGGGGGGGGGGGGGGGGGGGGGGAGGGGGCAGACCUCAGUCCUCCUUUGUGAAGCGUGUUUGCGUUGGGGGAUUGGCAGCGAUGGCUUCCAGAUGGGCUGAAACCCUGCCCAUAUUUAUUUAAACUGGUUCCUCGCGGAGACCUGUGAAUCGGGCUCUGUAUGCGCUCGAGAAAAGCCCCAUUCAUGAGAGGCGAGGCCUGGUGGGUCGCGCCCCCCUCCCCCGCCCGGACUCCCCGAUCCCCUUCUCCCACAAUGCCCCCCUGUGCCCGCCUGCCGCCACCUCCCGGGCUCUGGCCCCGCGCGCAGCGGCGACUAAGCAAAACAGUUCCCCGAAAGAGGUAGCUUUUUAAUUGGCCGGCCACAAAGAAUCACUUAUGCCGCGCGGCGGUAACGAGGGGAACCCGAUCGGGCGGCCAGGAUGCUAUCUGUAGCCCCUUUCGUGCCACAGUUAAGGGUGGUGCUGGCUUCCUCCGACCGCACCUAGGGGAUCUGGUUACGGUGUUGGCUCCUUUCUGGGGGCAGUCAUUUAAUCCCACUUUUUACUCUCCGGGUGUCUGUCUGCCGGAGGGCAGUGUCCCGAGCCCCAGCCACAAAGAGUCGGCCAGUGGCUCUCACACCCAGGGGCCCGCCCCGCCCCGCCCCUGGCCCUCGCCGCCCCCGGGGCUCCCUUCCUGGGGAACCCGAUCAGCUUUCACGAUGCACCCUCCCCCGGCUUUCCUCGGGCUCCUCCAGGCUGUCGUGGGCGAUAGAGUGCUUUUUCUCAGUCAGGACUGGACACCAUUAGCUGACGCUGCCCUCUCAUCACCUCCAGCUAAUUUUAGCUCCGCUGGGGAAGGGGGUAUCCCAGCAGCUUCGACAUAUUUCCUGGGGCCCCCUCACCUUCCUCUUGAUUGUCUUGCCUGAAGGCUAGAUAGAUUCCUUCCAGUGGAAAAGAAAAGGGAGACUUUGAUUUUUGGAUUCUCGCUCUCCUUCAAGAGCAGAAGGCAGGCGCGUUUGUUUCUCUCCACGCCCCUUGGGUUUGCGGCUCUCCCGGCUAUUAUUCGCCCUCCGCUUUGGCCAUUGCUUUUGAGAUUUUAAUGAGAAAAACAGCGCUGGGCGCUGCCUAGCACGUGGUGCGGGCUCUUGGGUCCCUGGCGCUCUGAGAAGCUCUCUUGUCAGCACAGUUUUCGUGUGCAGGGCGAAUUCCAGACGGCAGGGCGCUGGUGGAGAGGGUCCAGUCCGAGCUAUUCUCUGCAUUCUGGGAGGAUGCAGGUCUAGACUGGUCAACCUCAGUCAAGGCCAGACAUUUAGAGCCUGCCGCCCCCCAUAGUGGGGCUGCCAGCUUCAGACUGAGACUCCUGGCCAAAGUGCCACUCACUGCGGGAGGGCCCAGCUUGCCUUUUAAGUUAUUGUUUAACAUAUUGUUUAUAUCUUCUAAUGUUUGUGGGUAGACGUCUCUGCAUUUUCUCUGAAUUUUCGCUGUCUCAUUAUCCCUAGAGGAUGACCAAAAAAAAAAAAAAAAAAAAAAAAGAAAAAGAAAAAAGAAAAAAGUCUUUGCUCUUCAGCUAGAGCAUCUCACUCUCCUUUAUUGCUGGGUCAUGAUUCCUACCGCAUCCCCCCCCCGCCCCCUCCAACAUACCCAUCUUGCACAAGACACAUAAGAGAUACCCCGGAAUG